ACUCCUCCCAGUGCGCAGGCUGGUCAGAGGUUUUCCCGGGACGCGUUUUUACUUGGCUGUCUCACAAACAUGCCUACCGUACACUGAGCCUUGGAGGAGAUAAAGAAGACACCCACAGCCCUAAGAAAAAAGAAACACCAAAGCAAUUCUAAUAUAAAGUUUAGAAACAUUUCUGAAUAUUGAAAUAUUGAACUUCUCAUCACCCCACUGGAUUGUACAUUCUUGGAAGACAGUGUGUCCAGAAUUAGUGGGUUCUUGGUCUCACUGACUUCAAGAAUGAAGCCGCGGACCCUCACGAUCCAGGGGACAUGGCAAAAAGAACCUGAAUUCAUCAUGAGGAAGGAACCCAUCACAAGGAAGCAACCUAUGAAGGCAGCCAUUAGGCAAGGGACAUCUGAGAUGGGCACUGCAAGCAUGUUCAAGAAAACACCUCUUCUGCCAGCUAGAGGCUCCCCCGCCCAGUGGAGGAGGAAUCAAAUUCCACCAUCUUUAAUCUGGCUACACCAUAUUUGAAUAAUAAUCCUGAAAUUCACAUUGAUGCUCAAGAAGUCGCUUCUUCAAAACUUUAAGUCUCCAGAACUUACAUUAGAAGCGUCCUGAAAUACGUUUGGGUGUGGCCCGUGCACACAGCCCCAGCUACAACAUUGAGAAGUUACCUGUGGCCCAGCCAGAGCUACGAGGGCAAUGCCAAGGGCACUUGUGCACCAGCUUGUUAGAUAAGUUCAGUGACUUGAAACAGCGCCAGAGGUGAAUCCGUUUCCACUGCUAGGGAAUCUUCUCUCAGAGCACUAGUCUUCUCUUCUGCUGGGAUGAAAGGAAAGCUUUGAUUUUUUUAAAAAAAUCAUAUAAUGAAAAAUGACAUAUUGUAGAUAAAAUAUACUGUAGUUUAAAAUGUUGCAAUUUCCAAACAUUAGUGUAAUUAUAGGCCCUGAAUAAACUUGGAAAGCUAAGGCACACUGCAGCCAGCAGCCCAAACCUGUAAGUAUGCUUAUAAUCUAAAAUGGAUAUCUCAUUACUGGUUAACAUUAUUUAUUUAGGAGGAGAUACGACCUCUAAUUUGCCUUUAAAUGAUUAAUUUGGUGUUUAAAUAAGUGCCUUUUACUUAAUAAUGUUUUCUUCAACCAAUUCACUUAUGUCAAUAAACUCUUUGUUUAACCUUCUUAAAGGAAA
ensembl:lncRNA novel transcript